AAGGGUGUAGCUCAGUGGUGGAGCGCAUGCUUAGCAUCCACGAGGUCCUGGGUUCAAUCCCCAGUGCCUCCA
rnacentral:tRNA from 1 species